GGGAUGCAGGGCGCCGAUUUGAGCGAUCAGCUUGCGGGCGCGGUACAAAUGCAGCUAAAGCGUCGGGAUGUGACCAUCA
rnacentral:ncRNA from 1 species